CCUACGGGAGGCAGCAGUGGGGAAUAUUGCGCAAUGGGCGGAAGCCUGACGCAGCGACGCCGCGUGGGGGAUAACGGCCUUCGGGUUGUAAACCUCUUUCGCCAUCGACGAAGCCUCUUUGGGGUGACGGUAGGUGGAGAAGAAGCACCGGCCAACUACGUGCCAGCAGCCGCGGUAAUACGUAGGGUGCGAGCGUUGUCCGGAAUUAUUGGGCGUAAAGAGCUCGUAGGCGGUGUGUCGCGUCGGUCGUGAAAACUUGGGGCUUAACCCUGAGCUUGCGGUCGAUACGGGCAUCACUGGAGUUCGGCAGGGGAGACUGGAAUUCCUGGUGUAGCGGUGAAAUGCGCAGAUAUCAGGAGGAACACCGGUGGCGAAGGCGGGUCUCUGGGCCGAUACUGACGCUGAGGAGCGAAAGCGUGGGGAGCGAACAGGAUUAGAUACCCUGGUAGUCCACGCCGUAAACGGUGGGCGCUAGGUGUGGGGGCCAUUCCACGGUCUCUGUGCCGCAGCUAACGCAUUAAGCGCCCCGCCUGGGGAGUACGGCCGCAAGGCUAAAACUCAAAGGAAUUGACGG
rnacentral:rRNA from 1 species